UGAUGAGCUCCGGUGCGGCUGCCCGCUGUGGCCAAUUGAAUAUCGGUGAUCUUGGUCGGUCUUGUCGGUCUGCCGCUCUGCACCUGCCAGACGUACAUCAAGAACACCAAAAACCAGACCGUAGUCUAGUUCACAGUGGUGCCCUGCGCCCCCGUUGUUGAAGUGAAGAUCAAGCGGCCAGUGACCAAAUAUCAGCUGGGUUUCAGUGUUCAGAAUGGUGUGGUAAGUAAACGAUCAGAAUUCAUCUCUUAAAGAAAUGCCAGCACAUCCUAUAUCUAUAUUUGCUUUAUGCUCUAAAUAGAUCUGCAGUCUCCUGAGGGGCGGCAUAGUCGAGCGAGUCGGCGUUCGUGUUGGCCAUCGCAUCAUUGA
rnacentral:lncRNA from 1 species